GUGGGUGAGGGGAGGGGCUGAGAAUCAGGUGUGUCAGGAGGUGGGUGAGGGGAAGGGGCUGAGAAUCAGGUGUGUCAGGAGGUUGGUGAGGGAGGAGAGGGCUGAGAAUCAGGUGUGUCAGGAGGUGGGUGAGGGAGGAGAGGGCUGAGAAUCAGGUGUGUCAGGAGGUUGGUGAGGGAGGAGAGGGUUGAGAAUCAGGUGUGACAGGAGGUGGGUGAGGGAGGAGAGGGCUGAGAAUCAGGUGUGUCAGGAGGUUGGUGAGGGAGGAGAGGGCUGAGAAUCAGGUGUGACAGGAGGUUGGUGAGGGGAAGGGGCUGAGAAUCAGGUGUGUCAGGAGGUGGGUGAGGGAGGAGAGGGCUGAGAAUCAGGUGUGUCAGGAGGUGGGUGAGGGAGGAGAGGGCUGAGAAUCAGGAGUGUCAGGAGGUUGGUGAGGAAGGAGAGGUCUGAGAAUCAGGUGUGUCAGGAGGUUGGUGAGGGAGGAGAGGGCUGAGAAUCAGGUGUGUCAGGAGGUUGGUGAGGGAGGAGAGGGCUGAGAAUCAGGUGUGACAGGAGGUUGGUGAGGGGAAGGGGACUGAGAAUCAGGUGUGUCAGGAGGUUGGUGAGGGAGGAGAGGGCUGAGAAUCAGGUGUGUCAGGAGGUUGGUGAGGGGAAGGGGCUGAGAAAGGUGUGUCAGGAGGUUGGUGAGGGAGGAGAGGGCUGAGAAUCAGGUGUGUCAGGAGGUUGGUGAGGGGAAGGGGACUGAGAAUCAGGUGUGUCAGGAGGUGGGUGAGGGGAAGUGGACUGAGAAUCAGGUGUGUCAGGAGGUGGGUGAGGGGAAGGGGACUGAGAAUCAGGUGUGUCAGGAGGUGGGUGAGGGAGGAGAGGGCUGACAAUCAGGUGUGUCAGGAGGUUGGUGAGGGGAAGGGUCUGAGAAUCAGGUGUGUCAGGAGGUGGGUGAGGGGAAGGGGGGCUGCGAAUCAGGUGUGUCAGGAGGUGGGUGAGGAGAGGGCUGAGAAUCAAGUGUGUCAGGAGGUCGGUGAGGGGAAGUGGGCUGAGAAUCAGGUGUGUCAGGAGGUGGGUGAGGGGAAGUGGGCUGAGAAUCAGGUGUGUCAGGAGCUUGGUGAGGGGAAGUGGGCUGAGAAUCAGGUGUGUCAGGAGGUUGGUGAGGGGAAGGGGCUGAGAAUCAGGUGUGUCAGCAGGUGGGUGAGGGGAGGGCUGAGAAUCAAGUGUGUCAGGAGGUUGGUGAGGGAGGAGAGGGCUGAGAAUCAGGUGAGUCAGGAGAUUGGUGAGGGAGGAGAGGGCUGAGAAUCAGGUGUGUCAGGAGGUGGGUGAGGGAGGAGAGGGCUGAGAAUCAGGUGUGUCAGGAGGUGGGUGAGGGGAGGGGCUGAGAAUCAGGUGUGUCAGGAGGUGGGUGAGGGGAAGGGGCUGAGAAUCAGGUGUGUCAGGAGGUUGGUGAGGGAGGAGAGGGCUGAGAAUCAGGUGUGUCAGGAGGUGGGUGAGGGAGGAGAGGGCUGAGAAUCAGGUGUGUCAGGAGGUUGGUGAGGGAGGAGAGGGUUGAGAAUCAGGUGUGACAGGAGGUGGGUGAGGGAGGAGAGGGCUGAGAAUCAGGUGUGUCAGGAGGUUGGUGAGGGAGGAGAGGGCUGAGAAUCAGGUGUGACAGGAGGUUGGUGAGGGGAAGGGGCUGAGAAUCAGGUGUGUCCGGAGGUGGGUGAGGGAGGAGAGGGCUGAGAAUCAGGUGUGUCAGGAGGUGGGUGAGGGAGGAGAGGGCUGAGAAUCAGGAGUGUCAGGAGGUUGGUGAGGAAGGAGAGGUCUGAGAAUCAGGUGUGUCAGGAGGUGGGUGAGGGAGGAGAGGGCUGAGAAUCAGGUGUGUCAGGAGGUUGGUGAGGGAGGAGAGGGCUGAGAAUCAGGUGUGUCAGGAGGUUGGUGAGGGAGGAGAGGGCUGAGAAUCAGGUGUGACAGGAGGUUGGUGAGGGGAAGGGGACUGAGAAUCAGGUGUGUCAGGAGGUGGGUGAGGGAGGAGAGGGCUGAGAAUCAGGUGUGUCAGGAGGUUGGUGAGGGGAAGGGGCUGAGAAUCAGAUGUGUCAGGAGGUGGGUGAGGGAGGAGAGGGCUGACAAUCAGGUGUGUCAGGAGGUUGGUGAGGGGAAGGGUCUGAGAAUCAGGUGUGUCAGGAGGUUGGUGAGGGGAAGGGGCUGAGAAUCAGGUGUGUCAGGAGGUGGGUGAGGGGAAGGGGGGCUGAGAAUCAGGUGUGUCAGGAGGUGGGUGAGGAGAGGGCUGAGAAUCAAGUGUGUCAGGAGGUCGGUGAGGGGAAGUGGGCUGAGAAUCAGAUGUGUCAGGAGGUGGGUGAGGGAGGAGAGGGCUGACAAUCAGGUGUGUCAGGAGGUGGGUGAGGGGAAAGGGGGCUGAGAAUCAGGUGUGUCAGGAGGUUGGUGAGGGAGGAGAGGGCUGAGAAUCAGGUGUGUCAGCAGGUGGGUGAGGGGAAGGGGCUGAGAAUCAGGUGUGUCAGGAGGUUGGUGAGGGGAAGGGGCUGAGAAUCAGGUGUGUCAGGAGGUGGGUGAGGGGAAGGGGCUGAGAAUCAGGUGUGUCAGGAGGUGGGUGAGGGAGGAGAGGGCUGAGAAUCAGGUGUGUCAGGAGAUUGGUGAGGGAGGAGAGGGCUGAGAAUCAGGUGUGUCAGGAGGUGGGUGAGGGGAAGGGGACAGAGAAUCAGGUGUGUCAGGAGGUUGGUGAGGGGAAGGGGCUGAGAAUCAGGUGUGUCAGAAGGUUGGUGAGGGGAAG